rnacentral:rRNA from 1 species
UAACCUGCCCAAGAGAUCGGGAUAACACCUGGAAACAGAUGCUAAUACCGGAUAACAACAGAUGAUGCCUAUCAACUGUUUAAAAGAUGGUUCUGCUAUCACUCUUGGAUGGACCUGCGGUGCAUUAGCUAGUUGGUAGGGUAACGGCCUACCAAGGCGAUGAUGCAUAGCCGAGUUGAGAGACUGAUAGGCCACAUUGGGACUGAGACACGGCCCAAACUCCUACGGGAGGCAGCAGGG